rnacentral:lncRNA from 1 species
ACUCAUUAGAGUGAUUCCACGCUUCUUAAUACCCACUGGGAUUGCUUUAUUAUUUGAUAGAGUCAACAGUUGGCAUAUGCCAGAGUGUCUUUGUAUUCAGCUCCCUCAAAACCUCUGAAGACAGCUGAACAAAGGAAAUGAAUAACCAGCUUUGUUUCCCUCUCUCUCCCAAGAUUUCUUAAUGUUGACACCAGUGACUCCUUAACAUCACCGCUAAAGGAUCUCUUUAUCAGCCCUCUCCCACAGGCUUCUGAAGCAGAUGAGAAUGAGUUGGAGAACCAGGAGAACUUCCUCUUCUAGUCCUGGAGUGAAACGAUGAGGUAUAUUCAUCUAAGUUCUUGAAAGCUAAGGUGUAAAAAGAGGUUUGGAAAGCCAACGUUGACACACUUCAAGAGGUGGUGGAUUCAUCAUAUUCCCUGAGGA